CGUUAAUUUUCCACUUAAUACGGUAUUUGCCUAUGCCAAAAAUAAAUUCUUUCUUAGGAAUUAUUAAAU